rnacentral:rRNA from 1 species
UGCAAGUCGAACGAUGAACCACUUCGGUGGGGAUUAGUGGCGAACGGGUGAGUAACACGUGGGCAAUCUGCCCUNCACUCUGGGACAAGCCCUGGAAACGGGGUCUAAUACCGGAUACUGGAAAGCUCCGGCGGUGNAGGAUGAGCCNGCGGCCUAUCAGCUUGUUGGUGAGGUAANGGCUCACCAAGGCGACGACGGGUAGCCGGCCUGAGAGGGCGACCGGCCACACUGGGACUGAGACACGGCCCAGACUCCUACGGGAGGCAGCAGUGGGGAAUAUUGCACAAUGGGCGAAAGCCUGAUGCAGCGACGCCGCGUGAGGGAUGACGGCCUUCGGGUUGUAAACCUCUUUCAGCAGGGAAGAAGCGANAGUGACGGUACCUGCAGAAGAAGCGCCGGCUAACUACGUGCCAGCAGCCGCGGUAAUACGUAGGGCGCAAGCGUUGUCCGGAAUUAUUGGGCGUAAAGAGCUCGUAGGCGGCUUGUCACGUCGNUUGUGAAAGCCCGNGGCUUAACCNCGGGUCUGCAGUCGAUACGGGCNNGCUAGAGUNNGGUAGGGGAGAUCGGAAUUCCUGGUGUAGCGGUGAAAUGCGCAGAUAUCAGGAGGAACACCGGUGGCGAAGGCGGAUCUCUGGGCCNNUACUGACGCUGAGGAGCGAAAGCGUGGGGAGCGAACAGGAUUAGAUACCCUGGUAGUCCACGCCGUAAAC